AGAAAAAAACACCGACCCGGGUGACAAAUAGAGUUUGGUUCAUGGCUCAGGAUGAACGCUGGCGGCGUGCCUAAUACAUGCAAGUCGAGCGAACAGAUGAGAAGCUUGCUUCUAUGAUGUUAGCGGCGGACGGGUGAGUAACACGUGGGUAACCUACUUAUAAGACUGGGAUAUUUCCGGGAAACCUGGGCUAAUACCGGAUAAUAUUUUGAACCGCAUGGUUCAAUAGUGAAAGACGGUUUCGGCUGUCACUUAUAGAUGGACCCGCGCCGUAUUAGCUAGUUGGUAAGGUAACGGCUUACCAAGGCGACGAUACGUAGCCGACCUGAGAGGGUGAUCGGCCACACUGGAACUGAGACACGGUCCAGACUCCUACGGGAGGCAGCAGUAGGGAAUCUUCCGCAAUGGGCGAAAGCCUGACGGAGCAACGCCGCGUGAGUGAUGAAGGUCUUCGGAUCGUAAAACUCUGUUGUUAGGGAAGAACAAAUUUGUUAGUAACUGAACAAGUCUUGACGGUACCUAACCAGAAAGCCACGGCUAACUACGUGCCAGCAGCCGCGGUAAUACGUAGGUGGCAAGCGUUAUCCGGAAUUAUUGGGCGUAAAGCGCGCGUAGGCGGUUUCUUAAGUCUGAUGUG
rnacentral:rRNA from 2 species